AUGUUUAUUUUGAAUACAUUUGGUGGUGGUAAAAGUUUUAAGAGACGAGUUAGAAAAAAGGAAUGUGGUACUCGCACCUGUAUACAUACGCAGAGACAGAAACAAAAAGGGAGAAAAAGACAAAGAGAGAGACAGGGACAAAAAGAGAGACAGGGACAAAAAGAGAGACAGGNNNNNNNNNNAAAGAGACAAAAAGAGAGAAAGAGACAAAAAGAGAGAAAGAGACAAAGAGGUAUAGAUAGAAGCUACAAAAACAACCCCCACCCUGUAAACAAAUACACAUACAUGUUUUAUUACAAAACAAAUAUAUUAUUAUCAUAUACAGAUAAACUUUCUUCUUUCAUAAAUAAAUACCUUAUUUACGAAUUAAAAAUACAACUAUACAAAUCAGCUUAUAAUAUAAAAAAUACAUUAUUAACAUAUUUAUCUUUUCCCUUUUUUUUUAAUAAAGCAAAAACAAAAAACAAUUAUAUUUUAUGCGAACAUUUUAUUGAUUCAAAUAUAUCAUAUAACUAUAACAUUCAGUUGUAUAUGAUGUGGAAAUUAACUAAUUGUACUUAUAAAUCUUUUUUAUUAUUUUUAAACAAAAAUUUUUAUAAUUACAUGGAUUUUAUGAAUAAUAAAGUUAUGUUAUGUAACAAUAAUUUAACUAACAUUGUAGUAGGUAAUACAAAUAUGGAAAUAAAAAAUGGAAAAACAAAUAUAUCUUAUAUAACACCAGUUAAUUAUAAAAUAUAUAAUUUAAAAAAAAGUAAAAAAGAUACUAUUCUCACUAAAACAUUUAAUUCAAAUAGUUAUACAUCUGUACUUAUUAAUGAAAUUUAUAAUUUGGAAAAACAUGGUAUUAUAUAUUCUUAUUCAAAUACUAAUAAUAAAUUGGAUUUGAAAAUUGAUAAUACAACUCCUAAUACAAUUAAACAAACACAAUCAUUACAGGAGUAUGUUAACGAUAAGAAUAAAGAAAUAAAUGAAAAUAAUGGAGAAAGUACAAAUAACAGCUCUAACAAUAAUAGUUGUACUACCAGUAUUAGUUCAAGUGACGAAUCAAGAAAUACAGCUAGUAAUAAACGAUUUUUUAAACUGUAUUCUAAAUUAUAUGAAAAUGGUUUAAGAAUACAUGAUAAAGAAUACGUUAUAAUUCCUAAUGCAAGAGGAGUAGGAAAAAAUAAAAUAACAUUCAAUCAUACAAAUUUUUUAUUUAAACCUUCUAAAAAUGAUGAUACUUUUUCUUCUUUUACAUCCAAAAUUAAUAUUUUAAAAAGGAUUAAAAGUAAUAUAAAAAAAAAAAAAAAAAAAAAAUACAACCAUCAUAACCUUCUUAUUGGAAAUACUAAAUGUUAUACUAAACUUGUUGGAAAUAAUUCUACCUAUAAUUUGAAUCACUACUAUAGUCAAAUAAAAAAUAAUACGUUAGAAAAUAAAAAAGGGAAUACUAUACAUGAAAGAAAAAGUAAUGUCAACACAAAUAAACAAUUAUCUACUCAUAUUGCUAGUACCCAACAAGAAGGUAGUACAUACGUGCCAACUGAUACUAAUACUAAUACUAAUACUAAUACUAAUACUAAUACUAAUACUAACACUAACGGAAGUCAGGUGAUACAAAAUAUAAAAAGUAUAGGUCUUAAAGAAAAUACAAACGAUACCAGUGACAAUACAUUCAUUGUUGAUACAAUACAAAGUUGUAAAGUUAAAGAUUCUUAUGUAAAAAAUAUGAAUAUACAAGAAAUAAAAUCUCAGUUGAAUAGUUAUGUUAAUAAUACCAUACAACAAACAGAACCUAUACUUUACAAAAAUCCGAUAACUACUAGUAAUGUUAUAAAAAAAAUGGAUAAUUAUGUAAAUUAUAAUAAAAAUAAUAAUAACAAUAAUAGUAGUAGCACUGGAUGUCAUGACGAUAUAACUAGUUUUGUGAAAGAGGUUACAAAACAAAAUGAUAAAAAUAUACCUAACAGUAAUUACGGAGUUGAUUAUGUACCCAGUAUGGAUGACAGUACUACAAGUACAGCAGUACAGGAUAUUGUCACAAGUAUAGCAAUAAAGGACAGUUACUUAUUUAAAAAUCGUAUGAACGAGAGGGAUGUUAAUAGUAGUGCCAAAAAAAAAUGGAAAAAAUAA
ensembl:lncRNA